rnacentral:rRNA from 1 species
ACGAGAAAGGGGGCAACCCUGAGUAAAGUGGCGUACGGGUGAGUAACACGUGGAUGAUCUACCUUUUAGUGGGGAAUACCUCCGGGAAACUGGAGACAAUACCGCAUAAGCUCGUGAGAGGAAACCCGAAAGGGGCUGAAAGAGGAGUCCGCGGCUGAUUAGCUAGAUGGCGGGGUAAUGGCCCACCAUGGCAAAGAUCGGUAGCCGGCCUGAGAGGGCUCACGGCCACACUGGCACUGAAACGCGGGCCAGACUCCUACGGGAGGCAGCAGUGGGGAAUCUUGCACAAUGGAGGAAACUCUGAUGCAGCGACGCCGCGUGAGCGAUGAAGCCCUUCGGGGUGUAAAGCUCUUUCGACGGGAACGAUAAUGACGGUACCCGGAGAAGAAGCUGCGGCUAACUACGUGCCAGCAGCCGCGGUAAUACGUAGGCAGCAAGCGUUGUUCGGAAUUACUGGGCGUAAAGAGUGUGUAGGCGGUGCUCUAAGUCUGUCGUGAAAUCUCCCGGCUUAACUGGGAGGGUGCGGCGGAAACUGGAGUGCUCGAGGGAUGGAGAGGUAAGCGGAAUUCCUGGUGUAGCGGUGAAAUGCGUAGAUAUCAGGAGGAACACCUGUGGUGUAGACAGCUUACUGGACAUCUUCUGACGCUGAGACACGAAAGCGUGGGUAGCAAACAGGAUUAGAUACCCUGGUAGUCCACGCCCUAAACGAUGCGUACUUGGUGUGAGCGAUUCAUUUCGUUCGUGCCG